rnacentral:antisense_RNA from 1 species
GCCGUGAGUUGCGAGGGUGGGCCGUGAGUCGGGUGGGUGGGCCGUGAGUUGCGUGGGUGGGCCGUGAGUCGGGUGGGCGGGCUGUGAGUUGGGUGGAUGGACUGAGUCGUGUGGGUGGCCGUGAGUCGGGUGGGUGGCCGUGAGUCGGGUGGGGGUGAGGAAUUGGCUGCUAGCGGUGAUGGUGACAGAGGGUUACGGAGGAAUCCUCACUCAGAUGCAUUUGGACGUCUUUGUGGGGAAAUGACGUGGCGCCUGGGAUGUACUUUACAAUUCUAAUAAAGAGGAGAAAGACACGACAGUAUUGGCUGAAUGUUGACAGCUGUUGAAGCCGGGAGGUUGGUGUGCUAGAAAGUUCCCCAAAUCUUUUAUUUGCAGCAUGAGUAUGAGUUUCUUCGUGCUCACGGAAGAUUGUAGAGAGCAGCUGUCGGUCAUGGAGUCACAGGGCUGCCUUACCAGGACACCACAGGCAGCCCCACAGACAACACAGGUUUAUUCUCUCCAGCUCUGCAGGCUGGAAGUCCGAGGUAGAGGUGCCAACAGGGUCCGUUUCCGGCGAGCGCCUCCUGGUUCAGAGGCAUCCUCAUGUCAGGAGGGGCUUUGGUGUCACCUUUUCCUUGUGAGGGCCCGGAUCCCAUGACCCCUGUCACCCCAUCGAAGCCAAAUCACCUCCCACAGACCUCCUCAUGCCAUCACGUCGGGCCUAGGGCUUCCACAUGGGAAUUUCAGAGUGACCAUUCAGCCCGUAGCAGAAGCUCCUCUGGGUCUGUCCUGGCCCACAGACCCUGUGUAGGAAAAGCACUUCCCCCUGCGGGGCAGGCCCCGGCAGAGCCCGGUGAGGCAGUGAGGGCCCUGCAGGAUAAGUGGAAAUCUCCCCAGGGGGAUAUGGGGGUGCCUUUCUCUUACAGAGUCCAGGCUGGUAAAAGCGCCUGUGUGUUUCGUGUCUGGUUUGUCCCCUGCCCAGUGGGUGCCGUUGGAAGGGCCUUCAGGUGCUUGAGCGCAGGUGGGGACGGAGCAGCUGGUGUCUCGGCAGUAGAUGUGGCGGAUCAUAAGGACUUGGGUUUUGAGCGCCCUGCAGGAAGCCACUGGCCGCAUCCAGGGUCACCUGUGUCUGGUCGUUAGUCCCUCACGAUGCUGUCACUUUGUGACGCUCUUGUGCGGGAUUAAAUGUGAACAGCAGAGACGUGGGUGAUGCACUGCCUCGUCAGAUGAUGGUCAGUUGUCCAAGCGGGCUGCCUUGCUCUUGGUGGCCUCAUCAUCCAGGGCCCACACACUGGAUGGUUGGGCCACAGUCGCGGUGCCCCCGGGCUGCAGGCUUUCCACCCUGCUUAGCAGGGCUCCAGGGCUCCGGGUAGAGCAGGGGGUCCCUCCCUUGGCAUUUCCCCAGGGAGGAGCACGGCCAUGCUCAGCUGCAGUCAGGCUGCUGCUCUUAGCUGUCUUUCCUUCUAACACUCAGGCUUCCCUUCCUGCCUCCUGGGUCGCUGAAGAAGGUCAGGUCCACAGAAAAGGCCUGGGGAGAGAAUGGUGGGGACACUUGCCUGGCCUUUGUGUUAGCGCUCAGCACACAUGUGUCCAGUGUAAAGUCCACCAAGAUUAGCAGGGCAUGGUAGCGGCCGCCUGUAAUCCCAGCUUCUCAGGAGUCUAAGGCAGGAGAAUUGCUUGAACCUGGGAGGCGGAGGUUGCAGUGAGCCAAGAUCGUGCCACUGCACUGCAGCCUGGGCGACAGAGUGAGACUCCAUCUCAAAAAAAAAAAGUCCAUCGAGAGAGCAGGUGGCAGGUGCAGCUCCAGGAAUGGGAGGGCCACGUGGUAGCCACUGGCAGCCUUGACUGAAGAUGAAAGAGUCCAUGGUGCUAGGAGGAGGAGCUGCAUCCCAGCAGGCUCAGCUCCUGGAGCUGCCUCUCUGCACUCUGAAGGGAGGCCCAGUGGCUGCAAUAUUCUUUGGGAAGUACAAUGCCAAGUAAAUAAAGAUAUUUGGGGUCAUUCUAGUUA